CUAGCAUACUGUUACUGCUUACUUGGCUGGCUUAAAAACUAGCCAACCAAAUUAAGAAGUGGUCGGCUUUAUAGGGUCAGAAUAGUCAUUUUCCAAUUUUGAAAAUUUAUAAAAAGGCGUGAUCGUCCAACUUCCAUUCGUUCCCAUCUGAAACCACAUCUUCAACUCUCUAAACUCAUUUUCGAUCAUUACCCAUGGCUGAUGAUGAUUUCCUCUCAAUUCCUCCUAACUCCCCAAUUGGGUUCAACGAGCCAAACACACCAGAAAACAGUGAUACUUCCUUUGGGAACACGGUGGCAGAAGCUGAAGCUCUCAUCAUGGCCAUGAUUGACGGCAUUGACCUAGAGCUUGCUUACUCCGUUACCCAUGCGAGGAGACAUAGCUUAUGACAACUUCACGGGGGUGCCAGUAGUAACAGACAAGUAACAACUGAUGAGCACGUAUAGACUUGGGCUCGUGGGAGAGGAAAUUAUUAUGGUCCAGGGCAGGCUCCUCAUGAGUGACACGGUCUGGGUAUCCGAGAUUGUCGACGACGGGGAUGCGACCCUUUGCCACCAACUUUAGUGCCUCCACAUAUUCUAGCUGCCCACCAUGAGGACGGAGUUGCUUUGCCCAAGGUGAUCAUCAGCAACAGUGAUGAUGAUGAUAAUGAGGAUGUCGUGCAUGAUGGGCCCUUUAAUUACUUUUCGGUUGCUAGCAGCAUUUUUGGUAGUGGGGCUAAUGGCGAUGAUGACAGACCUGGCAGAGCUGGCAUCCCGUUGCCUGUCGGGAUGGUAGGUCCAGCUGCUUAGUUUAUGUUCUACUUUUUGGUCACCUUUUAAUUUACUUUCCUUUGAAUAGCUUGUAAGAACUUCAAAUGUAUUUAUUCCCCAAAUGUUAUAGGCACUUUUGCAGUUAGUCGUUUUGUAGACAAUUUUGCCAUUCACGGCCUUUAUAUAAAAACACCUUUUGUUUAUAGAUGUCCUCCAAGGCCUUGCUUUGCUUUACAUUUUGAGCAUUCUUGCAUACGUCUAAGUACCCUUGUCUUUCCCAAAUCCUAAACAUGCAUCCUUGCUCUUGUUCUGAUACUCUGAAGCUUAUCAAAUCACCUGGACCAACUACCCUAGAGUCUAUCGGCUAAUACCUUGCCCGGUAGGCCAAACAUGAAUUCGGCAGGUCCAUCCGGGGAAUUCCUGAGUUGGUCGUGACUUUUUCACUUUUCACAUUUUGUAAAAAGGUGGUACUUUUAUUGCAAACUACCCACAACCACCUGAAGUUGCUAUUUAUGUGGCCUUUUGUGUAUUUUCUUACUUCAAAUGGUGCACAACAUUUCUCUCCCUUCGUUUUAUAGUGUCCCUUAAGAUAUGGAUCCUCCUCACUAUUUAGACUUUACUGGUUUGUCCGAUGAAGACUCUAAUGAUGUCGUGGUUCCUAACUUAGAGCUAAUAUGCUCAAGAACUCUUUUCUAGCGGUCGUGGUAGUAGGAGAAGACUUACUUGUGGAAGGAGAGAGGAGUCGUGGACGGUUCUGGAGGAACCCACGGUCAACAAUAGGCGAAGAGUUUGCAGCCGUGGUGAGGUUUAUAGCUGAUCCUUGAGCUAUGCUUGUGCUCGAGGCCGUUUUUAUGCACUCAGCCCAAUGCUGGCUUACGGGUACAAUCAAAGUGCCUUGCCCAUGGGGUCUUUCUCUCUUCAUCUGACCAUCUUCUUUGAGGAUAAAAGCUUGGAGUUGUUUCGACCACCCACUCCAGAUUCUCCAGUGGUAAGUAGCAAUGAUGGAGAUGAUAUGGAAACUGCCUCCAAUGCUGUAACACCU